GACGAACGCUGGCGGCGUGCCUAAUACAUGCAAGUAGAACGCUGAAGGAGGAGCUUGCUUCUCUGGAUGAGUUGCGAACGGGUGAGUAACGCGUAGGUAACCUGCCUGGUAGCGGGGGAUAACUAUUGGAAACGAUAGCUAAUACCGCAUAAUAGUAGAUGUUGCAUGACAUUUGCUUAAAAGGUGCAAUUGCAUCACUACCAGAUGGACCUGCGUUGUAUUAGCUAGUUGGUGGGGUAACGGCUCACCAAGGCGACGAUACAUAGCCGACCGGAGAGGGUGAUCGGCCACACUGGGACUGAGACACGGCCCAGACGCCUACGGGAGGCAGCAGUAGGGAAUCUUCGGCAAUGGACGGAAGUCUGACCGAGCAACGCCGCGUGAGUGAAGAAGGUUUUCGGAUCGUAAAGCUCUGUUGUAAGAGAAGAACGAGUGUGAGAGUGGAAAGUUCACACUGUGACGGUAUCUGACCAGAAAGGGACGGCUAACUACGUG
rnacentral:rRNA from 1 species